rnacentral:rRNA from 1 species
GACGAACGCUGGCGGCGUGCUUAACACAUGCCAGUCGAACGAAGAGCGAUGGAAGCUUGCUUCUAUCAAUCUUAGUGGCGAACGGGUGAGUAACGCGUAAUCAACCUGCCCUUCAGAGGGGGACAACAGUUGGAAACGACUGCUAAUACCGCAUACGAUCUGACCUCGGCAUCGAGGAUAGAUGAAAGGUGGCCUCUAUUUAUAAGCUAUCACUGAAGGAGGGGAUUGCGUCUGAUUAGCUAGUUGGAGGGGUAACGGCCCACCAAGGCGAUGAUCAGUAGCCGGUCUGAGAGGAUGAACGGCCACAUUGGGACUGAGACACGGCCCAGACUCCUACGGGAGGCAGCAGUGGGGAAUCUUCCGCAAUGGACGAAAGUCUGACGGAGCAACGCCGCGUGAGUGAUGACGGCCUUCGGGUUGUAAAGCUCUGUUAAUCGGGACGAAAGGCCUUCUUGCGAAUAGUUAGAAGGAUUGACGGUACCGGAAUAGAAAGCCACGGCUAACUACGUG